UUGCUAUUUGCUCCUUUCCGGGAGCCUUCGGUUGCCUUGGAGACCAAGGCGAUGGCAACCAGCAGAAGCCAAACUUGGUCCCCUGUCUCGCGGCGUGCCUGCGCGCGGUGCUCAUGGCGCUCUACGAUCUCUUCUCUCACCCGGUCGAGCGCAGCUACCGCGCGGGGCUCUGCUCCAAAGCCGCGCUGUUCCUGCUGGUGGCCGCUGCGCUCACGUACAUCCCGCCGCUGCUGGUGGCCUUCCGGAGCCACGGGUUUUGGCUGAAGAGGAGCAGCUACGAGGAGCAGCCGACCGUGCGCUUCCAACACCAGGUGCUGCUCGUGGCCCUGCUGGGACCCGAGAGCGGCGGGUUCCUCGCUUGGAGCACGUUCCCCGCUUUCAAUCGGCUGCAGGGGGAUCGCCUGCGCGUCCCGCUCGUUUCGACUAGAGAAGAAGACAGGAACCAGGAUGGGAAGACGGACAUGUUACAUUUUAAGCUGGAGCUUCCCCUGCAGUCCACGGAGCACGUUCUGGGUGUGCAACUCAUCCUGACUUUCUCCUAUCAAUUACACAGGAUGGUGACCCUCGUGAUGCAGAGCAUGGCGUUUCUCCAGUCCUCCUUUCCUGUCCCGGGAUCCCAAUUAUAUGUGAACGGAGACCUGAGGCUGCAGCAGAAGCAGCCACUGAGCUGUGGUGGCCUAGAUGCCCGAUACAACAUAUCUGUGAUCAACGGGACCAGCCCCUUUGCCUAUGACUACGACCUCACCCAUAUUGUUGCUGCCUACCAGGAGAGGAACGGUGAGUCACAGGUAGAGCUCAUUCAGCCGCUGCUCAGGACUUUCAAGGUUAGUGGGGGCAACAGAGACAAGCAGAAUUGGAACCCUUGUGAUAAAAAUGUGAAAACCUGUGAAUGCUCAACGAUGGGAGCAAAUGUGCUGUCCAGGAUUUGUCCUUUUCGUCCUCAUCUUCAGACCUGGGACCGCCCCGACCCCUCCAGCAUCCCAUGGUCCAGAAGUUACCACCAUCCUGAAUGAUCCCAACCCCAUCUGGCUGGUGGACAGAGCCGCAGAUGCUCCAUUUGUGAUUAAUGCUAUCAUCCGAUACCCUGUGGAAGUUAUUUCUUAUCAGCCAGGAUUCUGGGAGAUGGUAAAGUUCGCCUGGGUGCAGUAUGUCAGCAUCCUGCUUAUCUUCCUCUGGGUGUUUGAAAGAAUCAAGAUCUUCGUGUUUCAGAAUCAGGUGGUGACCACCAUCCCUGUGACGGCGACGCCCCGGGGAGAAAUGUGUAAGGAGCACUUAUCCUAGGAAGGUCGUUUUUGAAGACUCGGCAGGACCAUGGCUGUCUCAUUGUCAUCUCCUGGGAACAUCUUAGGACCUUUUGAAACAGCCCAGAGGACACAUGCGGGCUUGUGUGCUUUUCCCCUCAGAAACAACAGUUCUUUUCAGUUUUGCUCUACACACGUUCCACAUCUUCAGAGCUCCUGCAGAAUCACCAAGGACUAGUUUGUGGAAAGGUCUGAGGUUUCCCUGAGGCUAUAAUUAGCUUUUUGGGUUUUCUUCCUUGCCUUAGAGUUGAAUUUUGGGAGAAAAUUGCAGUCAGUUCAGACAUCUUGGAAAGAGUCCCACCUCUGGUCAAGCAGAGACUUUUCCUCUGUUGAACUGAGAAACACGCUGUGCAUUUCUUCCUUCUACUGUGAGCCACUCUUACUCUUUUCAGGGCUUUCUUGUGACACACAUGCCAAUCACUAGCACUUUGCACCCCUGGGCAUCUCCAUUUCCAUUCAGAGCUUUGAUUUCCAGAGCUGAGGCCUUUAACUGGAGACCUGGAGGGGCAGGGCCCAAGGGCAAGGGCCGCAUUAGCACAGGCAUGAGGGAGGCCUGCUGAAGGCGACUUGGACUGUCCACCUGCUCCAGCCCAACAGUCAGUCCUCUGUUAUCAGCUCAGCUGAGCAGCCCUGGAUCUUUGUCAAACUGUGGCUGGCUCUUCGCCCUAUUUUUCCCUCUGUCUGUGCCCCUCAUGGCAGACUGAAGUCAGAGGGGCUGUUUCAUUCCCAGCCCCCUCAGCAGCACUGAGGGAAGAAAGGAUUGUUACAACAGGUUCUUUCUGGCCCUCAUCCCAACAGCCUGGGCACUUGGCCCUCCUCCUCCUUGUCAGCCCUCCCCCUUCCUGCAAAGGACAGGGGCAACAGGAGUUGGUGCUGGGAUUGGCUCCCACUGCCUGACAACCACAAGUUUAUUUGGAGGGCUAGUGGGAAGCCCAGCGGCUGGCCUUUCCCUUGACUAAGGAACACAGUGCCCAUCAGAGUAGGGCAGGCAGCUUUGGGAAGGACACAAGAAGCAGUGAGGGAGUAAAGAGGAUGCUGGCCUGGGCAGGCCAGUCCAGCCUGGCCACUAGCAGAAUGCCAAGCAGUUCAGUGGAUUACCCUCAUGGCUAAGGAAGUGUCUGCAAGAGCAGAGAUGGCUGGAAGGGGCCUCUGCACACGGAAGACGGCUUGUUCAGCCAUUCAUCUCCUGAGGACGCGUGCAGUCUCCUCCAAGGACAGACGGAGCUGCUUUCUGAUCCCAAGCAGGUCAUUACCACUGGGAGGACAUGGCCCCUGUGAUCCAUGCUUCAUGCCCACUCAGAAACACACCCCUCAGUGUGUGCCUCAGUUUACCUUGGAGAUGAGUUCUCAUUUUUAGUGCUCCUUUAGGCUGACUAAACACAAUUUUGGAAACAAAGCUGUUUUGAAAUAUUCAAGCAGAGGAAUUCCCUAACAAACACUGUCCCCUUUGUCUUUUUUUAAUAUUCAGGCUGUUUUAUAUGCCUAAAUUUUUUUCUUAAGAUCUAAAUGAAAAAUAGUUUCUUGUUUAAAUCCCCAUAAGGCAGUGAGAUAUGGAAGGAUGACAAGAUAAUGUAUAAACAUUGGUUUGCAUUUUAUUAAAUUAUUCAAAUGCAAAUCUUGUAUAAAGAACCCAUGAUGUUUUGUACCUUUCUAAUUAAAAUGUUCAAAAUGAGGCUGAGCAUGACGGUUCAUCCCUGUAAUCUCAACGCUUUGAGAAGCCAAGGCGGGAGGAUCACUUGAGCCCAGGAGCUUGAGGCUGCAGUGUGCUGGGAUCACACCACUGCACUCCAGCCUGGGUGACAGACUGAGACCCUGUCUCUUAAAAAAAAAAAA